GUGUCAUCUGCUUGGCCGAUUUUGGCACUAGCACAUUUUUGCUUUUCUCUCCGCUCUGAGCAAUCAUGUGCAGUGCCAAUAUGGGAAAAGCAGGAUGC
rnacentral:pre_miRNA from 1 species